AGGGAAGACAAAAGGCAAGUAACAAUCACACACCCACCUCUCAUCGCAGUUGCACAAGAACAAACCUUUUGGUCCAAUGCUGCAAUAUGCUCUCAUAGCAGACAAUAUCUAGGGCUGCAGGUGUAUUGAAUAAGGAGAUGAUUGUCAAAUAGCAAGGGAGGAUUUAGAAAGAGAAAAAAAAAAGGCAAGAGAAGUUAAGCAUGCCUCCUCAUCCCCCGGCUGAUUACUAUUCAGCUGUGUCUAUUCAGUGGAAUUGCAGCAGCUUCUAUUAUAGGCUUCAAUAAAUUAAAGAUGUGAUAAAAGAUGCGCAGGUUGCCUCAAGGACCUCUCUCUGUUCUUUUUAACUCAUACACAAACCCAAUCUUUCAGCGGCUCCGUCUCUGUCUUCCCAGCGCAUUCAUAUGUACGCGAAGCGAGGGAAGAGAGGGACCCGCAGUUGAGCUCCAUAAUCUCCGAAGCCACCUUCACCACCUCGAAGCAAAUCCCACGAGGCGUUUCCCUGCUGCUUCACACCUGACCCAAUUGAACGGCUGGCUGCCAGGCUUCAGCAGCACUCGGGCGACAUGCUGAGGGAGGUAAUUCAAUCAUCUGAGUCAGUUGGCGCUGGAGCAAAGAGACAUCUGAAACAGGAAGGGCAGCCGGCCCCCCGGAGGACCAGGCCUGAGAAACGGUGCUCUGAAAGCACCGCGGGGCUCAUUUGCCUCAGUUAAGAUUUCCUGGCAGCUUUGGGAAGAUGAGCAGCAAACGUUUCAGGGACUGAGCUCAUUAUUAUUUUUCUUUCUUUUUCUA